CGGAAUCUUCGGAUUUAGUGGCGGACGGGUGAGUAACGCGUGAGAAUCUACCAUCAGGUCUGGGACAACCAGUGGAAACGGUGGCUAAUACCAGAUGUGCCGAAAGGUGAAAGGUUAACUGCCUGUUGAUGAGCUCGCGUCUGAUUAGCUAGUUGGUAGAGUAAGAGCCUACCAAGGCGACGAUCAGUAGCUGGUCUGAGAGGACGAUCAGCCACACUGGGACUGAGACACGGCCCAGACUCCUACGGGAGGCAGCAGUGGGGAAUUUUCCGCAAUGGGCGAAAGCCUGACGGAGCAAUACCGCGUGAGGGAGGAAGGCUCUUGGGUCGUAAACCUCUUUUCUCAGGGAAGAACACAAUGACGGUACCUGAGGAAUAAGCAUCGGCUAACUCCGUGCCAGCAGCCGCGGUAAUACGGAGGAUGCAAGCGUUAUCCGGAAUGAUUGGGCGUAAAGCGUCCGCAGGUGGCUGUGUAAGUCUGCUGUUAAAGAGUCUAGCUCAACUAGAUAAAAGCAGUGGAAACUACACGGCUAGAGUGCGUUCGGGGCAGAGGGAAUUCCUGGUGUAGCGGUGAAAUGCGUAGAGAUCAGGAAGAACACCGGUGGCGAAGGCGCUCUGCUAGGCCGCAACUGACACUGAGGGACGAAAGCUAGGGGAGCGAAUGGGAUUAGAUACCCCAGUAGUCCUAGCCGUAAACGAUGGAUACUAGGCGUGGCUUGUAUCGACCCGAGCCGUGCCGAAGC
rnacentral:rRNA from 1 species